rnacentral:rRNA from 1 species
GUGUUAGAAAUGGUAUAGAUAUUAUUGUUAAAUAAAUGUAGUAAUAUAAUGUUAUGAAUAAUAUAAAUAUAAAUUGUUUGUUUAUAAAGUAUUAAAAGUAUAGAUUUAAUGUUUAAUAAUAGUACUGUGAAGGACACUAUUUAUAUAAUUAUUAUAUAGUAGAAUAUAUAUUCGUACCUUUUGUAUAAUGGAUUGAUGAUAUAAUUUAUUUAAUAAAAAAGUCUCGAAACAAGAAGAUUUACUUAAUAAAUUAUUGUGUUAACGUUGUAUAGUUAUACAUUUAAUAUUGAGUGGUAAUGAUAUGUUUAUCGAUUUUUGUGAUAGCUAGUUUAUAGGUUUAAAAUAUUUAAGUAUUAUUGUAUUAAUAUAGUUUUAGUAAAUUUAUUUAAUAUAGGAUUAUUAUAUGGGGGAUAAGCUUCAUAUACUAAAUAGAAUAUUUAUAUAAUUUAAAUAAUUAAAAUAGAGUUAAAUAUGCUUUUUUUUGUAAGUAGUUUAGAUUAAAUAAUUUUUUAUAUUCAAGUAUAUUAUAACCAUAAAUGUUUGUAAAUUAAAUGUAAAUAAAUAUAAUGUUAGUAUGAGUAUUAUUGUAAGUUAUAAUUUUGUUUAUUUUGAUUAUGAUUAAAGUAGUGUAAUGUAUAAAGAAAAAUAAAAUAAAGGAAUUCGGCAAAUAUUAAUCUCGCCUGUUUAUCAAAAACAUGUCUCUUUGUUAUUUAUAAAUAAAGAGUUGGGCCUGCUCAGUGAAUAUAAUUUUAACAGCUGCGGUAUUUUAACUGUACUAAGGUAGCAUAAUAGUUUGCCUUAUAAUUUGAGGCUGGAAUGAAUGGUUUGACGAAGGUUAAUCUGUCUCUAUUUUAUUUAUUAGAAAUUAAUUUUUAAAGUGAAAAAGCUUAAAUUUUUUAAAGGGACGAGAAGACCCUAUUGAGCUUAUAAUUUUAUGUUUACUAUUAUAUUAGUUAGUAUACACUAUAAAUUUUAAUUGGGGUGAUUAAGGAAUAAAAUUAAGUAACUUCCUUAAUAUUAAAUAAAUAGGUGUAUUAAGUAACCAAUAAGUUUAUAUUGCUUGUAUUAUAGUUACCAUAGGGAUAACAGCGUAAUUUACUUAAAGAGUUCUUAUUGAAAAGUGGGAUUGCGACCUCGAUGUUGGAUUAAAGUAACCUUAAGGUGUAGGAGCUUUAUAGGUAAAUCUGUUCGAUUUUUAAAACUUUACAUGAUCUGAGUUCAGACCGGCGAGAGCCAGGUUGGUUUCUAUCUUUUAAAAUGUGGUAGUUUCUUUUAGUACGAAAGGACCAAAGUUAACUAAAUUAUUAAUUAUAAUAUUAAUAUCUGUAAAAUCUGAUGUUUAUUAGAGUGUGUGGGUUAAUAAUCUAUA